AAUAUUACUACUAUUUUUUUCAACAAUAAAGUGUUAUGGCUUAAAAAUGUUUUGCUGAUUGAAAUUUCCCAAUUUUAUGCAAUAUUGAGGCGGGAGGACUUCCCUCUCUUUUUUUCGUUUUCUGUCGAAUCCUUCCCCCUCUUUUGUCCCAAGCCCUUCCCCAAUUCCACCAUAUGCUUCAGCCAAAGCACCGAAGUAUGAGUGUCCGGCCUUUCCUCAACCAAAAAUUAGGGUUUGAAAAGGUAAGCUUCUUCCCCUCUUGUUACAAGGUUAGGAUUUAAUUUAACUUUCAGGUAAAUUUAUAAAAUAUUUGUUAGAUUUGCUACACUUUGGGUACCAAUGGAUCCUUAUACUUCCGCAUUCCAAUGAUUUGUCACUGGCGGAAUAACUUCAUGACUUACUGUCAAAUUUGAAAAAUUUUCAGUUAAAAUAGAAAAUACAAUUACCAGAAUAUAUUAGGUUUAUCUUGGUUGAGCGUUCCCAACUACAUACCUCUUGACAUGUUUCUUCCUAAACUUUUUCAAGCACUUCGACGAUUAAAUUUUUGAAGUUGAAAAGCUUUUUAAUUUGGAAUUUGUCUAUUAUAUUAUACUAUGUUUUCUCUAAGUUGUAAUUAUUUAUCUAGGGACAUGUAUGUAUCUAAUUUAUAUGUGUUGUAUGUUUUAGCAAAUCUCAGCUUAACAGAAUUUUAUUGUUAUAGCGCUAGAAUGAAAAGCCUUUCAUUCCUUGUUUAUGUGAUUUACUUUGCAUUGUUGAAGUCUUCUUCUUACUUAUUCGUUAAAUUUUUUCUUUUUCAUCGAACAUAUUAACAAUUUGUUAAAUCUUAUGUGCAGGGGUGAGGGCCUAAUAUUGAGGUUAGAUUCUUAAUAUAACUUCAAUUGAAUGACCUUUUAUGUUUAGAGUUUUUGUUGGUUUGUCCUAUAAGCUUUUUUGCAGAUAAAUAUCCUUUUUAGUAAUCUUGUAUGACUUGGGAUAUGUUUGAGACAGUAAUAAUUUUAUAUAACACGAAAACUCUGGCCUAGGCAUCUUUUGCUUCUCUUUUGGAUUGAUAGCUUAAUAUCAGCUAUGCCAUAUACUAUUUUGUUCUUUUCUAAGGAGAUGGGGUGGGUGGAGUGGGGUGAAGAAUAGUUAAGCUGAACUAGCAUUUUAUGGUAGAGGGGCUAAAGUCGAUUUUUUUCAACAAAUGCGUCAAAGAAGUACCAUGGCUAUUCUAGAAACUAGAACACAUGUGCUGCCACUGAAAUUUUAUAUGCACUCAUUUGGGAUCCUGGACUUCACUGUGUUAGUUCUAGAGGCUAUUUCUUUUUGGUAUUCACUAAGUAGAAAGAGAUGGGUUGGGAACACCUUUGAACUGUGCACCUAUCUCCGUUUUCCCUUAUAUAAUUGAAGUUGGAUGCAUAUUAAAAUGAUUGGACAUGUUGAUGUUCAGAAUAAGUUAUGGUUUAUUCUUAGUGAGGAGCCAAACUGGUAAAAUUAACUAUCAGAUAUAUGUGCUAAUAUGACCUUUCUACAUUUGAAAUUUUUACUUGAAUAAGUGGACUUAAUAUUUCCUAACUGGCUAUUAAUACAUUUUUCUAAUGAAGAGGUGAUUUUCUUUACUAUAAUUGUCUUCUCUCCGCUUAAUCUUUUUUUUGUAUAAAUAAUAUUUAGCAUAUUUUUCAUCUUAAACUCUUAAAUGAAAUUCACUAAUCCCUUCAUCUUAAGAAUGACGCCUACAUAUGGUACUAUUCUGUUGAAAAGUCUCAGAGUAGCUUGUGUAUAUAUGGUAGCUCUUUUCAUAUGCAUCACUAGUACAUGUAUUCUUAUGUCGAGAUUAAUUUUUUUUUGUCAUUAACAAAUAAGGAGAUUGUAUAUUUACUUUAAUUAGAGACGAAAAAAUGUAAAAUGGUUAUAAAAUCUUUUUAUACUAGAAUUUAUUAAUGGUGAACUCUUAAUUACUCCACAGAGGGACAUGCAAGGGUAUCAACAUUCUGUAUUAGUACUACAUUUGAACUUUAAAUUUUCCUUACUCUACCAUGCAUCUUCUUCAACAAAUCUAUUGUUGCAUCCCAGUGAGACUGUUAGAUUGUUAACUCAUCACCUUUGUAUUUUAUAUUCCCCUACUGUUGUUAACGUUAUCCUAUUUUUCCGUAGUUCCUUAAAUUGCUAAACAAAGCAACAUGUAGAAUUCAAUUGGAUGCAGCAUUAUGCUAAUGAGGAGCUAUUUUCUCUAACUUCAAUCAAGGUAUGUUCUCACUUCACAAUGCUUACUAUGUUGCUCCAAAACAAAUGCAACAUGUAUUCAAAUAGAAAAUAUUUUUUCUUGAAUUUGGUUCCUCUAGAAACUUCAACCAUUGCUCUUAGGGUAUUUUUCAGUUCUUUUGUGUAAAAGAUAAUACAAGUUGUAUGUCAUGGUUACAAAAUUUAUGGUCUGAUUAGUUCCUGAAAAUUUCCUCUCUAGUAUUUCAUGUCACAAAUUUUGAUACUAUUGGAAAUGUAACUAGUUAUUUUGAAAAAUAUGAUAAAUUUAAAAUGGAGCAUAUUUUAUAUGAUUACAAUAUAAUGAUGCUUGCGUGUUUCCCAAUUGAGGAUUUGUGUUUCUUUAUUUUUUGAAUGAUAAAGAGGAUGUUUUUGGAUUAUAGAUAUGUCAAUACUCUUUUUGUUGUUGUUUAAGCAUUAUCGCCAUUGUGAAAUUUUGGCAUAUUUCAGUUUCAACUAAAUGGAGGUUCUUUUAUGUAAGAGCAACAUCUUAUCUUUAAAAUAAUUAGAUGCUCUUGUAAUGUUACCAUUUUCAAAAGAAUAAUAAUUAGUUCUUGUUGUCUGCAAGCUUAGAUUAGUAACACUAAUAUAUAAGCACUAAGUAAACUCAUUAAGUAGCCUUGUUAGUAUAUCUCAGACUAAUACUAAUAUUUGAUGGUUACAUGAAACUACGUUAGUGAAGUCUUAAGAUCUUGUUGAAUUUUUACCAACAUCCAGUUUUCAUUGUAUGUGCAACCUUUUUCUUCUGCAUUUGAUUGUUUUGAUAAAUUAUAAUUUGAUUACUAUUAGAAUUUUCUAAUUUCUUUCUCUCUUUUGAUCCUUUGUAUUUUUUUAAUAUAGGAAGGAUAAAGUUCUCCAACAACAGAAAUCAAACUCAACCACAGACUAGGAGGAGAAGGAAUAGUUUGGAGACAUUUUAUGUUAUUUUUGGGUCAUGUAUAUAUACAAAGAAAAUGUAUUGUAAUGUAUAUUAGAAUACCUUAUGUUGUUUGACUUUUUAGCAAUGAAAAGAUCUUAUAUAUUUUUAUUUCUUGUAACUGCCUUAUUGACUAUAAAUUAACUUUGUAUUUUAUAACAACUGUAAUUGUCAUUAAUCAUGAUAAUUUAUAGUGACAAUUUUAUUUUGUCAUUAAAAGCGAUGUUUUUAGUGAUGAAAUGAUUGUGUUAGCUACAAAAUUGUAAG
rnacentral:lncRNA from 1 species